rnacentral:lncRNA from 10 species
CUUCCCUCGCCCUCUCCUUGAGCUGGCCCAGUGCCCUACGGUUGCCAUAGUAAUUCGGGAGCGCUAGAUUCAAAAGAUUGAGCUAUUAUACGUUCCCGGACCAAGUUUGUUUAUUUUUAUUUUUGAGACACAGUUUCACUCUGUCGCCCAGCCUGGAGUGCAGUGGCGUGAUCUUGGCUCACUGCAACCUCCGCCUCCCAGGUUCAAGUGAUUCUCCUGCCUGACCCUCCCAAGUAGCUGGUAUUACAGGCACGUGCCACUGUGCCUGGCUAAUUUGAGCCACGGCGCCAGGCUGCAUGGUCAUUUUUUAGGGAGCUGGGAAAACUGGACAUGCCCCCAAGCCCCAGGGUCUUCCAAAUCCGAUUGCAGCCCCCACAUGGCCAAUGCUGUAUCAGCAGGUGGGCCCGGGACCCUGCUCAUCCCUUCAGCCCCAUCCUGCCCCUGCAACCUUGCCCGGGGGCAGGUGCCCCCUUCGAUGAUCUCAGGUCAGCAUGACAAAUCGUUUGGAGACCUGGGCAAUCUGGUUUAACUUAAACCUUCUCCUAGGACACAAGCCCUGGCAGAAAUCCACUGGUAAAAUGACACCCGGGCAACAGUCAAGGUUUUAUUUCCAGUUAGGUCCCAGGAUGGGGGAAGGGAGAGGAGAAGUC